rnacentral:rRNA from 1 species
UACGGGGGGAGCGAGCGUUGUUCGGAAUCACUGGGCGUAAAGGGCGUGUAGGCGGUUCGGUAAGUGGGAUGUGAAAUGCCCCGGCUCACCCGGGGACCUGCAUCCCAAACUGCCGGGCUUGAGUACAGGAGAGGGUGGGGGAAUUCCAGGUGUAGCGGUGAAAUGCGUAGAUAUCUGGAGGAACACCGGUGGCGAAGGCGCCCACCUGGCCUGCUACUGACGCUGAUGCGCGAAAGCUAGGGGAGCAAACGGG